rnacentral:rRNA from 1 species
GAUGAACGCUGGCGGCGUACCUAAUACAUGCAAGUCGAGCGAACAGACGAGGAGCUUGCUCCUCUGACGUUAGCGGCGGACGGGUGAGUAACACGUGGAUAACCUACCUAUAAGACUGGGAUAACUUCGGGAAACCGGAGCUAAUACCGGAUAAUAUAUUGAACCGCAUGGUUCAAUAGUGAAAGACGGUUUUGCUGUCACUUAUAGAUGGAUCCGCGCCGCAUUAGCUAGUUGGUAAGGUAACGGCUUACCAAGGCAACGAUGCGUAGCCGACCUGAAAGGGUGAUCGGCCACACUGGAACUGAGACACGGUCCAGACUCCUACGGGAGGCAGCAGUAGGGAAUCUUCCGCAAUGGGCGAAAGCCUGACGGAGCAACGCCGCGUGAGUGAUGAAGGUCUUCGGAUCGUAAAACUCUGUUAUUAGGGAAGAACAAAUGUGUAAGUAACUAUGCACGUCUUGACGGUACCUAAUCAGAAAGCCACGGCUAACUACGUG